CCGGAUUUGGUGUUACGAGAGGUUCUGCUUUGAUCCAUGAAUUCUACUCUAGAGAGGUUGCAAAUCCUUUCCAUGUACCAGUGGACACUACAUUCAGAAAUGGAGAGGCAACCAUAAAAGCCUUUGUCUCUGUUAAUUUAUCUCUUGGAGACCAGUCACUUGCUGCUCAAUUUCAGGAAAUUCCUGCAGAACUUCGAAUGUCAGAAGCAGAGAGGGUUGAAUGUUAGAUUGUUGCAUCUACAUGGGUCUUAUCAACUUGAUCAACUCAUCAUGUGUGAGGUCUAUACUCUGAGGAAUGCGCCUUAUGCUAGUGAGGAAAUUGAUGUGGUUCGUGAUCAAUGGGCUACUUUUUUACCAGCAAAUAUUUAUUAUUGGCCUGAGCGCGCUUGAUCGAGUUGGUUUAGAUGUUAUAGAACAAUCUUUUAUAUUAAAAUGUAUGCGUACGUUGAAAUUGGAACAUAUAUUUAAAUGUACGUGCACUUUGGUUUCAUGUAUACAAAACAACAAUUAUUGUUUUUAUAUUUGUUAUACAGGUUGCGAUAUU